rnacentral:lncRNA from 1 species
UGCAUUUGGAAAACUUAAUUUCAGUUAUCUUCCAAAAAUUUCUGAAAUCCCCUAACGAAGGGGAGUAGACAGAGGGGAGAUUUAGAGGGUGUUCGGCGGUGGCAGUGGGCUUCGUCUACUGCUGCUGUCCGCCGGAGACUUGGAAGGAGGAGGGGACGGUGGGCGCUCGUCACCGUUGGGCGAGGAGAAGCGUCGGAUCGGGCAGUCUAGUGAGAGAGAGAAAGAGAACUCUGAGGGAAGCGCGGUCGGUGGCGGCUUUCGCUGCUACUCGUCGGAGUAGAAUCUGGAAUUGAGGGCGGUGGUCUUGGAUUGGGGCUGCGUCUGCGUGUGACCUUUCUUCGUUUGGGGGGGACAAAUUUGUCCACUGAAGAGUAAUGGCAUUUUACUGUACAAAUGAGUAUAAUUAAGUGGCGGGGGACGGUGGAUCCAAUUUCUAAGAAGAACAGUAGAUUAGGUGCGGACCUUGGGUUUAUAGCGGGCCAUUGCUACUAUAUAACAAUCCUAUCAAACAAUCAGAAAUCUAUAGAAAUACUAAUUAUCUUGCCUAAUAACCCCUAUCAAACUAUUACUUCACACAAGAAAUUACCCAUCGCGGCAUAGACUAGAAUUUUGGGAAGGGGAAUCCCCAUGAUACAGGGGUUCAUUGCAUAACUCACCAUUAGGAAAACCAAAGCACUUAGAAAAGCCAAAUUCUCGAGAGACUUGCCACUUAUUAUGCUCCCAAUCAAGAUGGCCAUUAUCACAUUAAUUAUUAAAACAUUUAAAUGCCCAUAUCAGUAACACUCCAUCAUCACUACAAUGAGAUACAGAUGCAUCAUUUACCCUUUUACUGCUUGUUGUUUUUCUUUGAAGCAUCAAAUCAAUUUUAAACCACAAUUUGAGAACCAAUUAUAAAUCAUUGCAACCAAGCAAAAAUUCAGUUCAAGUAAGGAUGCUAGAAUUUAACCCCAUAGCUAUAAUCACUAUCAGCAAUAACUUAACAUCUUUCCCCAAUUAGUCCCAAAAGCCGCAGUCUCAAGCAAACCACAGCAAAUUGAGCGAAAUUUCAGUUACGUACAAGAGCUAAAAACAAAGUAAAUGGACCUCUGGACGGUGUCAUGCUCAGACACAUCACCUUCUUCCCCAUGAGCGACUCGAUGAAGCCAAUUUUGGCGUUGGAAAGCAGGCCCCAACACUGCCCUCUGAAUCGAAAAAAGCCUCUUGAUGCCUAUAUUUUUCAAAGCCAAUAUAAUCUGCGGCGAGAUCUCGAGCCCUUCAUCGGCGGGCGCGCUUGAGGCCCUGUCCGCAUCGGAGUAAUCAACCACAGCCAACCCAUCUCGCAAAACCUGGCCAGGAUGAAAACCCCUCGCCAAUUCGACGCUCGGAGAAACGUUAGGCAGCACUGAACCAGCUGCGCAAGUGCGAAUCUGUGCGCCAGAAACCGCAUUCCAACACCAGCAGGUUGAACAACUUAUGAUAAGACAGUGCAGUGCGCAUCACCUGGCUAGUCGGAUUCCCCCACGUCGACGGUUUGGACGAAUUUCCUUAAAUUCUCGAUAUUUCAUUUGUCCUUGCACCAGAAAUUGAACAAAUUCAGAAGAAAUCGUAAAGAAAAAAAGUAGAAAUUAAGAAAAGCCCUAAGAAAUGGACAUCUUCCCCAUCCUAUGCUCAAACUUCUUCCUGCAGCGAUUCGCCGCCUUGCUGUCUAAAUUUUGAUUAGGGUACCCGCUCGUGAUGUUUCAAUGCGACAUGGCCAGCGUUAGCUGCUGAUGGCAGAUCUCACCGAGAAUUAUAAGGAUUUUUAGGAGAAUGAUUCGAAAUUACAGGCGACCCGUUGGAGGUGGCGGCUGUUUGCGCGGUCAAAGAAGGCAGCGACCACUUUCCGAUCUGAGGUUAAAGCCGUAUCAGGGGGCGGCCAUUGGGACUCGCGCUGAACUUGAUUUUAGACGGGAGAUGAUGGAUGAAUUUCAGAUUAGCGAGAUAUUGCUGGUGGAAAAUGGUUUGUUAUUGAGACUGGCGAGAAUAUGAUAGAUCGAUGAAUGCCGGAGGAAAAGCGGCCAUCUUUGGAGAGAAAGCUGAAAUUGAUAUGGAUCGCCCAUUGUCGCCGGAAACUGGCAAAGAAACAGUCGGAAAAAGGAUUUAUGUUUUUUUUUUUUCGAUGAAUAGUAACCGGCAAAUAAUAAAAUACUCACGUCUUAGCUCCGUUUUCCCACAGACGGCGCCAGUUGGUAAAGCACGAAACCGACACCUAAACUAUAAAACAAUAAACGACGACACAAUAUCUACGUGGUUCGGUCAUCAAGACCUAAACAAUAAGCGACGACACAAUAUCUACGUGGUUCAUCCACGGGAGUUCUUCGAAUUUUUCACUAUAUUGAGAGCGUUUACAGAUUACAAAUCUUGAGUGAAUAAGAUAAGAUAAUCCUCUUAAUUCAUCCUAAGCUUCUAUUUAUAAGCAUGUAAAAUAAACCCUAAGGCCUUAAGCCCACCCUUAGAUAAUUGGGCCUAAAGCCUUAAGACAGUUUAUAGCUUUUAGCCUUCAAGGCCGAGAG